AUUGAACGCUGGCGGCAGGCCUAACACAUGCAAGUCGAGCGCGCGGCGGACGGGUGAGUAAUGUAUGGGGAUCUGCCCGAUAGAGGGGGAUAACUACUGGAAACGGUAGCUAAUACCGCAUACUCUCGGAUGAAACCAUAUGGGAUUAGCUAGUUGGUGGGGUAAAGGCUCACCAAGGCAACGAUCCGUAGCUGGUUUGAGAGGAUGACCAGCCACACUGGGACUGAGACACGGCCCAGACUCCUACGGGAGGCAGCAGUGGGGAAUUUUGGACAAUGGGCGAAACCCUGAUGCAGCCAUCCCGCGUGUAUGAUGAAGGCCUUCGGGUUGUAAAGUACUUUUAGCCGUGAGGCGUUAUCUGCAGAAUAAGCACCGGCUAACUCCGUGCCAGCAGCCGCGGUAAUAC
rnacentral:rRNA from 1 species